UACAGAGGGGGCAAGCGUUGUUCGGAAUUACUGGGCGUAAAGGGCGCGUAGGCGGCCCGCUAAGUCGAACGUGAAAUCCCCGAGCUCAACUCGGGAACUGCGUCCGAUACUGACAGGCUUGAAUCCGGGAGAGGGAUGCGGAAUUCCAGGUGUAGCGGUGAAAUGCGUAGAUAUCUGGAGGAACACCGGUGGCGAAGGCGGCAUCCUGGACCGGCAUUGACGCUGAGGCGCGAAAGCUAGGGGAGCAAACGGGG
rnacentral:rRNA from 1 species